GACGAACGCUGGCGGCGUGCCUAACACAUGUAAGUCGCACGGGACUGGAGGGCAACUUCCAGUUCAGUGGCAGACGGGUGCGUAACACGUGAGGAACCUGUCCGACGGCGGGGGAUAGCCGGCCCAACGGCCGGGUAAUACCGCAUACGAUCGUUCGGGGGCAUCCCUGAACGAGGAAAGCAGCCGCAAGGUUGCGCCGAUGGAGGGUCUCGCGGCCUAUCAGCUAGUUGGCGGGGUAAGGCCCACCAAGGCGACGACGGGUAGCUGGUCUGAGAGGAUGGCCAGCCACAUUGGGACUGAGACACGGCCCAGACUCCUACGGGAGGCAGCAGUGGGGAAUCUUGCGCAAUGGCCGCAAGGCUGACGCAGCGACGCCGCGUGU
rnacentral:rRNA from 1 species